GGAGUCUUGGUAUGUUGGCCAGGCUGGUCUCAAAUUCCUGGGCUCAAGUGAUCCUCCCGCCUCAGCCUCCCGGAUUGCUGAGACUGCAGGCCUCUUUCGGGUGGUCAUUCUGGCUGGCUGCAGGUCACCCUUCCUGCCAACAGUGUGAAGGACCCCAACCCUGACAGAGACCAGACCCUGGGAUCUGGAAUGUGUAUCCUGAGUGCAUUCUGCCACUGCCUCUUAGCCACCUUCCCUGAUGCUGUCUGGGAUGCAGGCAUUGCAUGCAGUUCACGUCGGAAGAUUCCACACUGCAAUCCAGAGACCAAAAGGAGCCCAUUGCGAUCUGGCUCUGGGGGACCCUGGGAUGAUAUCCCUACCCCCAGGGACAGGAACCAACCCCCGGGGACCUGGAGAGACUCUGUGCCCUGCAGGACCGAUGGGGGACUCCUCCCUGUAUGUACGUGUGCGUGGCCCUGCCUUGUUCUUGCCCCGGACCUGGCCUGGUGAAGGAGGCACGAGGAAGAUUGCAGUCAGGGACGCUCAGCCUGGGAGCUGACCCUCAGGUGAGGCCCUAAGGAAGUUCCCAGACCUCCCUGAACCUCAGUAUGCUCAUCUGUCCAGCAGCAACCCUGGGCCUUAAGUGAGAACAUCUAUGCGGAAGAGGCAGGUGCCAAUCAAGCCCUCUGUAAAGUUACCUCCCCUUUUCCCUUCUUCUCCUCUCACAGAGCUGAAGAAUAUUUUGCAAAGUUCAUUGUAAACAUUAAAAUAAUCUUGGGUGUUUAUCAUUCGUUAAACCUGUUGGGCUGACUUUAGGUCUACCGCUCUCAAAAAACCAAGAAUAAAUGGCACAGGGAGCUGAGUUCCGUGUCUGGUUAUGGGCAGUGGAGAUGGGGGCUGAGGAGUCUCAGCAUCCCCUGUCCCCAGCCUGGCUUCUCACAGAACAAGGGGACGGGCAGGAUGGCUGCAAGGUCACCAUGGUGACCUGAAUAACCAUGGGAAGUGCCUGAGGCUCUCCUGAGCUCAAUGGCCGCCAC
rnacentral:lncRNA from 10 species